UUGGUGAGGUAACGGCCCACCAAGGCUUCGACGGGUAGCCGGCCUGAGAGGGUGACCGGCCACACUGGGACUGAGACACGGCCCAGACUCCUACGGGAGGCAGCAGUGGGGAAUAUUGGACAAUGGGCGAAAGCCUGAUCCAGCAACGCCGCGUGAGGGAUGACGGCCUUCGGGUUGUAAACCUCUUUCAGUACCGACGAAGCGCCUGUAAGGGUGGUGACGGUAGGUACAGAAGAAGGACCGGCCAACUACGUGCCAGCAGCCGCGGUAAUACGUAGGGUCCGAGCGUUGUCCGGAAUUAUUGGGCGUAAAGGGCUCGUAGGCGGUCUGUCGCGUCGGGAGUGAAAUUUUACAGCUUAACUGUGAACGUGCUUUCGAUACGGGCAGACUUGAGGUAUUCAGGGGAGAACGGAAUUCCUGGUGUAGCGGUGAAAUGCGCAGAUAUCAGGAGGAACACCGGUGGCGAAGGCGGUUCUCUGGGAAUAUCCUGACGCUGAGGAGCGAAAGUGUGGGGAGCGAACAGGAUUAGAUACCCUGGUAGUCCACACCGUAAACGCUGGGCGCUAGGUGUGGGAUCCAUUCCACGGGUUCCGUGCCGCAGCUAACGCAUUAAGCGCCCCGCCUGGGGAGUACGG
rnacentral:rRNA from 1 species